AGCGAUAAGGCUGCAACAUCUGUCACCCCAUUGGUCGCCAGGGCUGUCGGCUGAUCUGGCUGGCUAGGCGGGUGUCCCCUUCCUCCUACACUGCUUCCGAAGCUGCGCGCUGGGUCGAAGAGGACGACCUUCCCCGAAUAGAAGAGGACCGGUCUUCGGUCAAGGGUAUACGAGUAGCUGCGUUUCCCUGCUAGAACCUCCAGACACAACUGUAUCUUAAAAAUAAUUCAAAUCAGACUAUUGUUUUGUGAAUUUGUACUGUUCAGACAGUUUUCUUCCUAGU
ensembl:misc_RNA 7SK 7SK RNA